CACAGGAAAUGCCUAUACUGCCCUCCUCACUCACUUCCGGUGGCAGGUAUGGAACCUAUAGGGGGGCCUGUCACCCGGCACGUGCGCCGGGGGCCGGCCGGGCGGGCGGGGAGGAAGGCCGGCGGGCCGGCGGGGGGCCGACCCCGACCCCGACCCCGACCCGACCCGACCCGACCAGAUCCGCCCCGGAGCCUGGGCCUGGCCGGCUGGGCCUCGCCCCCAGCGCCCCUGGCAGGGCUGCCUCGGCGAGGAGGGAUUCCGGAGCCAGUGGUCUCCGUACUGGGUCUGCUCGGACUAGGCCUCUUCUGGUGGUGGACGCCCGAGGCCAAUGGCCUUCCCUGUUCCUGCCACGUCCUGCCUGCCGAGAGAAGGGGUCACGGGACAGGAGGUAUCACCCGUGGGCUUCCCUGGUGUCACAGUGGUAAAGAAUCUACUUGCCAACGCAGGACCCCUGGAUUCCAUCUCUGGGUUGCAAAGAUCCCCUGA
rnacentral:lncRNA from 1 species